UGGACAUUUAUCUGUGACCAGGCGGCU
rnacentral:piRNA from 1 species